rnacentral:misc_RNA from 1 species
UUUCCGUAGGUGAACCUGCGGAAGGAUCAUUAUUGUAUAACCGAGGUGCGAGGGCUGUCGCUGACCCGAAAGGUCGUGCACGCCCGAGUGCCCUCACACACAUCCAUCUCACCCCUAUGUGCACCACCGCGUGGGUCCCCCUUUGGCUUGUUCGGAGGGGGGCUUACGUUUUCACACAAACUUUGUAUGCAGUGUAGAAUGUAUUUUUUGUUUUUGCGAUCACGCAAUCAAUACAACUUUCAACAACGGAGCUCUUGGCUCUCGCAUCGAGGAAGAACGCAGC